CUUAAUAUUUCCUUAAACGCUCAGGUUCUGCUUCUUCUCCUUCAGGAUCAUCUUCUCCUUCUUCGUUGUUGAUUAGUGGUGGUGGAUAUGAUGGAGAGAUUGAACAAGGAGGUGUGACGCAUCAUUCUCCGACUCAGGUUUUGAAAAACUUCGAUGAGAUUCGGUUUCUUCGAAUCGAGCUUCCUAGUGGUGAAUUAGGGAUUGAUGAUGGUGUUUUAUUGAAAUGGAGAGCUGAAUUUGGUUCUACUCUUGAGAAUUGUGUCAUUUCUUAAAUAAUCAAAGAUGUAUAAUUUUGGGCCCGGCCUCUGAUAAGUCAUGCCAUAGAAACCGAGGAAUUUGAUUCUUUAGCAGAUCCCAAGCUUGGAGGAAACUAUGUCGAAUCUGAAAUGUUUAGAAUGAUUGAAGCAGCGGAGCCUGCGUACGCCAUUUAGCUACCAAGAGACCUCGAAUGGGACAAAUUGUGAGAGCUUUUGAAAGUUUAGCUGCGGAAGACCUCACCAACGGAAUGAGACUAGGCGAAAGCGAGGUCUUUAACUCAGCUCAACAGUCAGCAGAGAUCAGAUUGUUUAGAAGAAUGGCAUUUGGUAGCCAAAACUACAGUACAGAUUUUUUCACACAUAGUAGUUACAAUAGCAGAGACGAAAACGUGUAAAUAUCAUACACACAUUGUUUUUUUUUUCUCCCGCCAUUAGUGGCAACAACCCAUCAAGAAUAUCCCAGUUUUGUCUCAAAAACUGACCAUCUUUCGCGACUCAAACCCGCACAUCCUGUUCAUAUCAACGCAGAACCUUCUCCGAGUGCUUGAAACAAAACAGAGGAUUACGGAGGAGCUAAAGGUUGAACAGAAAGAUGAGAAAAAAAAGGAUAGAUGGGUAAAUACUUAUGUUCUAGCACAUGAGAGGCUUUGUUUCUUACAUGAGAUUGCUUUUGUAUCUAUUUUUUUAAUACUUAUACGUUCAGGUUUGUACAUUCCGUGACAUUACUUAUGAUAAAUCAAUAAGGCUCAA